GCUGACAGAUUAUGUUCCAGCUCCAGGGCCAGAAGGCAAAACCAACUAGUCCUGCAAUUGUUGCUCCACGAGGAUCUGGAUAAAGCUGAAGCCAGGCAUUAGAACCAGAAACCUUCCUUCAGGGCAGGCAAAGGUUGCAAGUGUAAGCAGAAAAGUGUAAUUACAUUCCUGUGGUCCCACAGCAGUGUAUGAACCAGAUUGACAAGACAGGCACCACUACAGCAAAAUACAGACCCAUGAAGGGAGACAUAGACUCCUCUGGCUGCAGUCUGAACUGAAGGACAAAAGACAUCUCUGGUUCAUGUGCCAUGGUUUUCACAGGUUCUGUAUCUGAACUAAAAGUCUAUGCUUAGAAGAAGAAAAUGGUGGCUUGACAACACCACCCUAAAGCAGCUGUAAGAACUGAGCUGCCUUGCAUCUGCCCAGCUUGGAGCAGUAGCAGAGCAAUCUACACCUAUCCAGAGAGACACGUCCCCAAAAAACACUGUGUUUCUUGCCAUUGCAUGUCUGCAUUGCAACGAAGGUUUGUAAAGCCCAGGGUCCAGUAUAUCGAUCAUAUUUUCCUCCUAUUUCAUUUGUCUCACAACAAACCACUAAACCUCAGCUAAUUGGGUGUUUGCUACAUAGCUACAGCAAACAAAUUCAUUUUUAGUUCACAAUAUCAGAAAGGUCUACAAGCAUUAGCUAGGCUUUACUUGUUAACAACAAAUUAAUGAAAGUUUAA